UAUGUUACGACUUAUUCCAUUUUAAUGAAAUUGACGGGCAAUUUGUACACUUUUCAAAACUAAUUUCAAUUUAAUUAAUUUAUUAAAUUUACUUUUAAAUCCUCUUUCAAAUUAAUAUUAAAAUUAAUUAUCCAAAAAUUUAAUUUAUUAUAACUCAUAAAAUUCUUAAAUAUACUACAUUUUGAUUUGAAUAAUUAUUUAUAUUAAAUAUUAAUAAAAAAUAAUCUUAUAUAAAAAUAAACAACAAUACAUAAGUCUAAUUUAAGUAAAUCUUAUCGUGGAUUAUCAAAUUAAACUACAAGUUUCUCUAAUAAGAAUGAAAAGCCGCCAUAUAAUUUAAUUUUAAUGAUUUAACAUUUACUAAUAAAUUAAUUUUAUUAUCUUAUAUAGUGGGGUAUCUAAUCCC
rnacentral:rRNA from 1 species